rnacentral:sRNA from 12 species
CCCUGACAGUUGCCUAACGCAGCUGACACUAGCCACGACAGGAGAUUCUCAUG